UGCGAUAAGCGUCGGUAAGGUGAUAUGAACCGUUAUAACCGGCGAUUUCCGAAUGGGGAAACCCAGUGUGAUUCGUCACACUAUCAUUAACUGAAUCCAUAGGUUAAUGAGGCGAACCGGGGGAACUGAAACAUCUAAGUACCCCGAGGAAAAGAAAUCAACCGAGAUUCCCCCAGUAGCGGCGAGCGAACGGGGAGGAGCCCAGAGCCUGAAUCAGUGUGUGUGUUAGUGGAAGCGUCUGGAAAGGCGCGCGAUACAGGGUGACAGCCCCGUACACAAAAAUGCACAUGCUGUGAGCUCGAUGAGUAGGGCGGGACACGUGGUAUCCUGUCUGAAUAUGGGGGGACCAUCCUCCAAGGCUAAAUACUCCUGACUGACCGAUAGUGAACCAGUACCGUGAGGGAAAGGCGAAAAGAACCCCGGCGAGGGGAGUGAAAAAGAACCUGAAACCGUGUACGUACAAGCAGUGGGAGCACAGAGCAAUCUGUGUGACUGCGUACCUUUUGUAUAAUGGGUCAGCGACUUAUAUUCUGUAGCAAGGUUAACCGAAUAGGGGAGCCGAAGGGAAACCGAGUCUUAACUGGGCGUUAAGUUGCAGGGUAUAGACCCGAAACCCGGUGAUCUAGCCAUGGGCAGGUUGAAGGUUGGGUAACACUAACUGGAGGACCGAACCGACUAAUGUUGAAAAAUUAGCGGAUGACUUGUGGCUGGGGGUGAAAGGCCAAUCAAACCGGGAGAUAGCUGGUUCUCCCCGAAAGCUAUUUAGGUAGCGCCUCGUGAAUUCAUCUCCGGGGGUAGAGCACUGUUUCGGCAAGGGGGUCAUCCCGACUUACCAACCCGAUGCAAACUGCGAAUACCGGAGAAUGUUAUCACGGGAGACACACGGCGGGUGCUAACGUCCGUCGUGAAGAGGGAAACAACCCAGACCGCCAGCUAAGGUCCCAAAGUCAUGGUUAAGUGGGAAACGAUGUGGGAAGGCCCAGACAGCCAGGAUGUUGGCUUAGAAGCAGCCAUCAUUUAAAGAAAGCGUAAUAGCUCACUGGUCGAGUCGGCCUGCGCGGAAGAUGUAACGGGGCUAAACCAUG
rnacentral:rRNA from 1 species